rnacentral:rRNA from 1 species
GACGGAGGGGGCUAGCGUUGUUCGGAAUCACUGGGCGUAAAGGGCGCGUAGGCGGCUUCAGGUGUCGGAUGUGAAAGCCCGGGGCUCAACCCCGGAGGUGCAUCCGAAACUCUGGGGCUGGAGGCCGGAAGAGGAGGGUGGAAUACCCAGUGUAGAGGUGAAAUUCGUAGAUAUUGGGUGGAACACCGGUGGCGAAAGCGGCUCUCUGGUCCGGUCCUGACGCUGAGGCGCGAAAGCGUGGGGAGCAAACAGG